rnacentral:rRNA from 1 species
AUUGAACGCUGGCGGCAUGCCUUACACAUGCAAGUCGAACGGUAACAGGUCUUCGGAUGCUGACGAGUGGCGAACGGGUGAGUAAUAUAUCGGAACGUGCCCAGUCGUGGGGGAUAACGCAGCGAAAGCUGUGCUAAUACCGCAUACGAUCUAUGGAUGAAAGCGGGGGAUCGCAAGACCUCGCGCGAUUGGAGCGGCCGAUAUCAGAUUAGGUAGUUGGUGGGGUAAAGGCCCACCAAGCCAACGAUCUGUAGCUGGUCUGAGAGGACGACCAGCCACACUGGGACUGAGACACGGCCCAGACUCCUACGGGAGGCAGCAGUGGGGAAUUUUGGACAAUGGGCGCAAGCCUGAUCCAGCCAUGCCGCGUGAGUGAAGAAGGCCUUCGGGUUGUAAAGCUCUUUUAGCAGGGAAGAAGCGAAAGUGACGGUACCUGCAGAAAAAGCGCCGGCUAACUCCGUG